GUGUGCCUUUGAUGUUCAUGUUUAAUUUAUGGAGAAACUCUGACCUAAUUUUAUCUCUCAAGAUCAGCCCUUAAAAUCUCACAUGCCCACCUCUUCUGCAACAGUCCCUGUCCCUAGAGGACUUGAAUAGUUUUCAUUCUGGCCUCCUGUCUCAUGAGUGCAGUUUAUUUUGAUUGUCAUCUUCUCCUGGAUAUAAAGGCUUCAAAAUGGUGAGAAGAUAAUGAGAAAAGGAAAGAAUCUAUGGAUAAGAAGUAAGGAGAAAAUCGUUGACAAUUGUCAAAAUCUUGCCUCAUUACUUCUCCAGGAAUGAUGUCUAUCCUUUUCUUCAAACACAUUCUGUAUUCUAGGAAUUCUGAAUUAUUUUGGAUUAGCCAAACUCACUAUAAACUCUACUAUAAAUAGGAAACCCUGCCAUGUUGAAAGGAAUACAACCCAACAUGGAGUAGAAACAAGAAAUCAAGAUAUACACUCUAGGACAAGGAGCAAUAAGAAUUUGACUUAAAAUGGUUAUUUAGCAUGUAUUAGAGUUGCAACUGGAUUUUAUGUAGUUAUGAGGGAACCCUGAAAAAAGUACCAUUGAACAGAAAUGAGAUUUGGUUUCAGAACUUCAGCCCAAAUGCUAUUAAAUCUUUUGCAUUUCUUGAACUAUACCCCUUGUGUCUUUGUCAUAAUUUUCCAGAGGUCUUCUCAGUCAAUAUGGGUUCAGUUUACAUAAUCCUGUCAACUGAAUAAAGUAAAUAUGUAUUAGGCUUCUGAGUAAAGUGUAAUCAUAAGCAUUGCAUUGAUAUAAGAUAUAUAAACUCAAGGAUAUAAAGAAACAAUUUUUUUGUUCGUUUUGUUUUGGUUUUGUUUUAAGUCAAAGGAAAGGUGUGGUUCAGGAGUGAUAAAUUGCAGCCUGGUGAUCAAGAAGAUUUAAAAUUUAUCUCAACUUUACUAAAGUCUUCCUGACUAUAGGCCCCUGACCAAUCUUUUCUUGGAGCACUUACUUCAGAAAAAUUGCAAAUGUUAAUUUUUUAUUUGCUGAUGAUGUAAUAUCUGUCUCAAGUAUCUGGGAAUCAUCAAUUUGAAAAGUAAUAGGAAAGAAAGAACCCUUGUCUCCUAGUUUCAGUGAAAUGAUAGGAGUUGUAGAUAAAUACCAACUAGCAACACAAAUGGCCUAAUAACAUUGCACAACCUAUUUGAUAACAUCAUUGUCUUCCAGUACUUUUCCAGUAGCUUCCCCUGGUGCUUAAGAAUUUACCCAACUUCUGUUUGAGUGGAGUGGAGUCAUUCUUUCUCCUUCACAAUAGUGUUGAAUAAA
rnacentral:lncRNA from 1 species